UUCUUCCUCUUCUUUCCCUCCCUCCUCCUCCUCCUCCCUUUCUUUGUCAUUUUAUUUUGAGAUGAUCUGCCCCAGGAUGGCACACAGUGAAUACAGGGCUGCCUUCCUACCUGCAACAGAGCUUUAAGCCAACUUGCCUCUGACAGCAGCAACAUCCAGUCCCCAAAGGUGAAAAGAGAUGACAGAUUGGAGCUGUUCGGUUGAUGGAUGAGAUUCUUUUUCUCUUCCUUCUUGUUUUUUUUUCUUAAUUUACUAAACAAAAUCUCACCUUCCCCCACGCCUAAGGGAAAAAUUCCUGCCUUUCCCCCAUCACCUUUUGUGGGAAAAGAGGGAAUAUUCAUUUCAUCUUUUUUUUUUUUUAAUUUUUAACUAACUAGCCAGCUCUUUUCUUUACUUCAAAAGAGAAUAUUUGUGUUGGGGAUUUAAUAUAUCCAUCCUUAUACUGGAAAGAAAAUAUCAAACAGGGGCAACUUCUUAUCCACUUCUCUGAGAGAGCUUGACGACCAUCUGUGGGACAAACGAAGAGCAGAAAUGAGCACUGGUCGCUGUCCAGUGACCAGGCACAGAGCGUGGAGGCCAGGCCUUUGGGUGCUGCGCGUGCCCCUGAUGCCAGCUGCACUGCUUCUCCUCCUUGGCCCGUCUGGCAACAUCUCUGAGCCUGCUCUGUUGCCAUUCCCAG